AGAUGGUCCAAAGGUAGUCAGUUAUCUCAAUUGAUUAUUCAGUCAAUUACAGAUCAAACUCCUUGUCCUACUCUUUCCCCAUUCUCACUACUGCACUUGAUGUCUUAAC
ensembl:misc_RNA Y_RNA Y RNA